CAGGGCUGACACACUUUGUCAUUAAUCAGUUUUUUUUGUUGUUUUUUUUUUCCUGUUGUUGCGUAUGUCUUUUUAUCUCCUGCUUCAAGCAAAAGACCCGUUUCUUAACAAACAAUAUUUUUGUGGAAACAUUUAUGCGCAUUAUAACACUGCUGAUAAAAACAAAUAAUAUCUAAAUGCACUCCGUUUAUUCGUCGAUGAUGAUGUGUGACUGUGUGUGCGCGCAUAUCAAGAAUGAAGUGUGCAACAGGGACUGCUUUUGAGAUCAAAUCUUCAAUUAAUUCACACUUCAUGAGCUCCUUCUGAAACUGUUGGCAAGAAUCAAACAUCACAGAAGUCCUAUCUGUCUCAUUAAAAGGGAAGUGUGAUCCAUCUUUGACAUCUGGUAUUAAAAUGCCCCUAUCAGUCCCAUGUACAUUCAUCCCUUUUUUCUUGAAGGUUAUAUAAAUUGUUUUAUGUGUACAUGGUGUGCAAAUUAGUUUAAAAGGGGACUAUUUUAGACCUGUCUGGAUUCAUAUCGUACAGUACAUCAGUAUAGCUUUCUCGAUAACAUGCACACUAACAUAGGGGUUGUUAUCCAGAUUGUUUCACUCAGUGGCAAAGGAAAACAACACUGUGUUGCUCCCUAAGUUGCAAUGAGCUUUAUUGCUUCUGGUGCAAAUCUGUCCCCAAGCAGAGCAAUCGUGCCAAGUGGCAAAUCAUGGUGCCAAGGGUAAUUUUUUUUCUCACCACACAGGCUUCAGCUGCCCUCCAGACAUAUGGCAUGCCUGCCCUAAUUUCAGAGAGUCUAGUCAACCCAGACAGAGACUGAAACCUCCCAAUCCAAAGGUGUCAAAGUUAGUAGAUGAUACCCAGUUUCCAUGCCAGGUAUACAAUAUGGUCUCUGGAGAACUGGCGCCCCCGACUCAAUUUCAAUGUGAUGAUGGGCUACUCUAGUCUGCCCCAGGAUGGGAGAAAACACAUCAGGAAAUCUCGCCACUAGUGCAUGAGCCUGACAUUUCUGUGUUGGUGUCAGACUGUCUGCAAUCUGGACUGACCCCUUUUUCGUCAACACAGAAAGAUCAGGUCCCAGGUCUGUGACGUCCUCUGUUUGAGCCACUAACAAAGCCUCCUGUUGCAACCAGGGCUUCAAGAGGUUCACAUGAUAAAUGUGCUUUUCUCUCCGUCGCUCCGGCUGGCAGAUCUCCACUGUCCCAAUUUGGCGUGUAAUCUCAUAAGGUCCUUGCCACUUCGCUAGAAGUUUAGACUCAGAAUUAGGUAGUAAUAGAAGCACUUUAUUCCCCGGCUGAAACGUGCGCAACUGGGCUCCCCUGUUAUAUUGGGUCUCCUGUCAGCAUUGAGCUUGCUGCAAAUUAUCAUGCACCCAUUUCCCCACAAACUCAAGAGGUUUGCACAGGUCCAACACAUACCAGACAGAAUUGGUCGAAUUAUCCUGCUGCUCCUCCCACAUCUCUCUAACCAGAUCAAACACUCCCCGGGGUCUCCGUCCAUACAGCAGUUCGAAUGGCGAAAACCCUGUAGAAGCCUGGGGUACUUCCCUGAUAGCAAAGAGAAGGGGAGGAAUCAGCUGAUCCCAGUAACGCAUGUCACUGUCAGUAGAUCUGCGCAACAAGUUUUUGAGGGUCUUAUUAAAACGCUCCACCAAACCGUCGGUCUGGAGGUGAAAAACCGAGGUUCUAAUGGUCUUAAUCCCCAAAAGUUUACAUGUUCCGUGGACUAGCCGGGACAUAAAGUUGGUGCCUUGGUCAAUCAGUAUUUCUUUGGGGAAAAAGGCUGGGGAAUGAGCAACUGGUGACGCACUUCCCUGGUCUGUGGUAAUUUAUCAACAACGUAUAAGAGAUCUCGAUUGAUUUUAAAGUGAGUGUACACGGCGGCACAUCUGGGCUCGAACAACCGACCAUUGAUCACAGCUGCUUUGUCAAAGAGUCUGCCCAGCACAUCAUAGCGCCCUGGGUCGAGUCAGAAGUCAUGGGAACGAGCUAAAAAAUCAGCUCCAAUGGCUUCCACCUCGGGAUCAGGUCAGUUCUGAGCGGAGGCAGCCGAGCCAGAUCCCUUCACUGGCUCCGCAGCCUCCCCCCCAGACUCUUCACCAAUCACUCCCACCUGAACUUUCCCAGACCCGCUCCAUUGCCAGCCUUCAUUCUUAGAGGCCCGGUGUUCCCGUUUUAGUUUUCCGGGGUUUAAAUCUAUGGCAAUACCAAGCCGGGUCAUGAAAGGGAAAGAUCUCUCCAAUUACUUCCUCUUUCUUAGCCAAUAAGGAGGACGGAGCUGUCACAGCAGCUAGCCAACCCUUAAACUGCUCGCAGUCCCAUCCCAGAACUACCGGUACUGGCAACCAAGAACACAAACACACUUGUACUCGCAUCUCCUGCUGGCCAAUUUUUAAAUUCACAUCAGCUUUUGGAUAAGUGCGCAAAUCCCCAUGAACACAUUUAAUAUGCACCCGUCCCAAUAUUGGCUUAUGCCCCAGUGAGAUUAAGCUCUCCUGUAUUAGGGACUGACUACAUCCUGAAUCCAAGAGAGCCUGGGUUUGUGUACAAUCCAUGGUAACAGAAAUAACAAAACCCAUCUGCUGGAGUGACUGAGGUCACACCCCAUCCAGAAACCUAGCUACCCCUUCCCCCCAGUCCCUUCGCCCCCCCUGGGGCCAGGAGUGAGGAUGAUGCAGGAGUCGUGAUCUUCCAAAGCGGCUUGGCAGGUGUUGGUUCCACAGCUCAGAACUGUUCCACCAGUAACACCACCUGAUCCAAAGAGACUGGGGCAUGCCACUGCACAUAUAUGCGCGAUUCCGGGGCCAAGCAUUCAACGAACCGCUCCACCAUGAUGGUUUCCACCAACCUUGCUUUGGUGGACUGGUCUGGGACUAACCAGCCCAUGGCAUAAUCUUUCAGCUGAUGAGCGAUGGUCCGAGGAUGUUCGUCUGCCGCUAAGAUCUCCUCCCAAAACUUGUGGCAGUAGCCCUCCGGAUUCGCCCCCAAGCGGUUAAGAAUGGCUGCUUUUAAUGCGGAGUAAUCGACCAUCACCCUGGGAUCCAAGGACCUGGCGGCCACCUACGCCUCCCCCGUAGGAGGUAGGAGGUAUCCAGCCCACUGAGGUAUCCAGCCCACUGAGCCUGGGGCCACCCAGCAGAGGUCGCCAUAGUUUCAAAAAUCUCCAAAUAUGCUUCUGGUUGAUUCUCUGCUGUCAUUUUGGUUGGUCUCUGUAGCCUCGGGUCUGGCCCCGCAGGUCUGCCCUCCCCCCUGCAAUGCCACCGUCAGAGUUUGGUGCAGGAGGUCCAUCAUUGAGGAAAACUGGUCCGCAUCCAUUGCUUGCACUGCUGUAUGUGGGCAGUGCCAGUUAAUCCCACCCUUAACAUCACGUGUGAGAGGGUGGUGGAAUUCAUUGAACACAAACAAAGUUUCAAGUUUUGAACACCCAGCAGGGGUGUACUUUAUUAAAUUUACCACAAAGUGACACUGCACUGCUACCUCACCCAAAUACCAACAAUGGUAAACGGGGGGCCAAUGGAGAAUGCACACACACACAGGUGCGUCAAAAAAAUAGUAAUAAAUAAUAAUUUCACCAGCGGUCCCGCUGUCCUUCUCCCAGAAAAGCCGACCUGAGGAGUAGCAGAGCAUUAUUAUUAUAGGUCAAGCAGCGCUCACGACCUGCCUCUCAACCAUUCAGAGAGAAAGAGAAAGAGCGAGCCCAGCCUCCCCGUGUGACUGCCAUGAUGGACAGGCAGGCCCUUCAUGGCUCCCGAGCUCCCCCUGCAGGAUCAUACACGCACCAAAGAGCCAGUACAGGUCCCCCCCGUUACAGGCCUACUUAAAAAAAAAUAACCCGUUUUAGAAUGAUGUAAUAGGAGUUGCCAGGCCCUUGCUAUGAAAAGGUACAUACAACAGGACAUAUUUGGACAGAGGUGCAAAGGUAAAGGCCAAUUUUUUGAAUAAUGGUAUGAGUCAAGUAGCUCUGUUGUUAUUUGGUGUAGCUUCCUGCUAGUUUAUUUUUAUUUUUUUUAAUUAUUUUAAUUCUUAUAGGAUAUUUCCCUUUGGAUCAAAGUAGGGCCUAUUUUAAUGUAAUGGCAUCAGUGUCUCUGGGAUCUGUUUGAAUCAGCUUUAUUGAAAUUGCACAAUAGUCUCUGCAGAGCUUAAUGCAAGUAAAUAUGCACACACAUUAGAGAGAAUGCAGCUUACUAAAAAAAGUAUCUAACAAAAGUAACAUAACCAUACCAGCUGCUGCUGUAAUCAGUUCUAAUUUAUUUAGUCAGGUUGUAUAUUAUUGCUGUGGUUAAAGGAGCUCUACUUCUCUUUAGGAAGAGAUUAUAUGAGGUCAGGGAUUCUGUAUAUUAGGGUUAUUUUUCAAGUGAUAUACACACGUUUAUAAAACUGAUACUACUUAGAUAAAUGAACUCUGUGGUAAUACAAGCUUCAGAGCAUAAUUAUUAGUAAGAGUAUAUUUUAGAUUUAGCAAUUGAUUCACGAGCACCAGUGAAAUCAUCUUGAAUCUUCUAUGACAUGCCUUUUGAUUGUCAAAAAAAGGAGGCCCAAUUAGUAAAUACCCCUUUUGUCAAUAAGCCAGAAGCACUGCAUAUUAAACAAUGGAAUCUUGUUUAUAUAUUGGCAGUUAAACCAGAAUAUCUGUGCUAUCUAGGAAUGCAAACUGCACAUCUGAAUUAGGGGUACCCUCAGUUUCUUGUGAAACCCUUUGUCAACAUGGUGACAGCAGUAAUUUGAUUGUGUAUAACAUCAGUAGAAUUCCUUUCUUGCCAAGUGCUUAUAAGGCAUGCAAUAGAGUAAUCUCUUGCUAGUUUUAUACCAUUACAAUUAUUUUAUUCAUUUCACUCGUUGCUAAAGAAGGCCAACUAUGUUUACCCAGCAUUAUUUAAUUAUGUGCUACAAUGUCUCAGUGGCUGUAUUUUCAAUAUUCAUACCCAGUACAGGGGCUGAUCUGUCUCUGCAAAGACCAUUUUUUUAAAAUUUUGUUUAUUUCUAUGACAAACUUAAAAACAUUGUACAGCUAUUUUUCCUCAUCUAACCUGAACCUGUGUUCUUGAUGGCUACUCAUGAUGGUUAGCUGGAACCUCGCUGCAGCAGGAUGAUCCUGGUUUUACCCUGAGGGGAUUUUUAUUCAGGGGGAAGGCAAUAUUCUUUCCCUACACUACUGUCACUGAAAAAUAAAUCCAUCAAUAAAUAAACACAAUGC